rnacentral:other from 1 species
CUGGCCCUACGCUGCACGUGGGCGGGUGUUGUUUCGAGCCAACACAGUUUCGAAGGGAGCCUUGCUCCAAUGUGGGAUAUGCGGCGGGCCGCAGAUGCCUACGGGCGGGCACCCACCUGCGUGAGCAGGUUCGAAACUAGCCCGUUUGCGUCAGCUGUAGGGCCUUU